GACGUAGGGGCCAGCGUUGUUCGGAAUUACUGGGUGUAAAGGGUUCGUAGGCGGUGCAGCAAGUCGGGAGUGAAAUCUCUGGGCUUAACCCAGAGGCUGCUUCCGAAACUGCUGUGCUUGAGUGUGGGAGAGGCGCGUGGAAUUGCAGGUGUAGCGGUGAAAUGCGUAGAUAUCAGGAGGAACACCGAUGGCGAAGGCAGCUCGCUGGGACGGUACUGACGCUGAGGCGCGAAAAGCGUGGGGGAGCGAAACAGG
rnacentral:rRNA from 1 species